rnacentral:rRNA from 1 species
GAUGAACGCUGGCGGCGUGCCUAAUACAUGCAAGUCGAGCGAACAGACGAGGAGCUUGCUCCUCUGACGUUAGCGGCGGACGGGUGAGUAACACGUGGAUAACCUACCUAUAAGACUGGGAUAACUUCGGGAAACCGGAGCUAAUACCGGAUAAUAUAUUGAACCGCAUGGUUCAAUAGUGAAAGACGGUUUUGCUGUCACUUAUAGAUGGAUCCGCGCCGCAUUAGCUAGUUGGUAAGGUAACGGCUUACCAAGGCAACGAUGCGUAGCCGACCUGAGAGGGGGAUCGGCCACACGGGAACUGAGACACGGUCCAGACUCCUACGGGGGGCAGCAGUAGGGAAUCUUCCGCAAGGGGGGAAAGCUUGACGGAGCAACCCCGGGUGAGUGAAGAAGGUUUUCGGAUCGUAAAACCCUGUUAUUAGGGAAAAAAAAAUGUGUAAGUAACUAUGCACCUUUUGACGGUACCUAAUCAAAAAGCCACGGCUAACUAAGU